rnacentral:rRNA from 1 species
CAAUAGCGUAUAUUAAAGUUGUUGCGGUUAAAAAGCUCGUAGUUGGAUUUCUGCUGAGGAUGACCGGUCCGCCCUCUGGGCAGGUAUCUGGCUCAGCCUUGGCAUCUUCCUGAAGAACGCAGCUGCACUUGACUGUGUGGUGCGGUAUUUAGGACAUUUACUUUGAGGAAAUUAGAGUGUUUCAAGCAAGCGCACGCCUUGAAUACAUUAGCAUGGAAUAAUAAGAUAGGACCUCGGUUCUAUUUUGUUGGUUUCUAGAACUGAGGUAAUGAUUGAUAGGGAUAGUUGGGGGCAUUCGUAUUUAACUGUCGGAGGUGAAAUUCUUGGAUUUGUUAAAGACGGACUACUGCGAAAGCAUUUGCCAAGGAUGUUUUCAUUGA